CGAGGCUGAAGAGCCCCAGCUCUCUCAACCUGCUCCUGUAGGGGAGGUGCUCCAGCCCUCUGAUCAUCUUCAUGGCCCUGCUCUGGACCCGAUCCAACAGCUCAAUGUCCUUCUUGUGUUGGGGGCACUAGGACUGGAACAUUCUGUAGUUCUGAUCAUAUUUUAAAUGUGCUUACAUCCCUUACUGCAUUCAGGAUAGGCAUUGAGGAGUAAACCUGGCAGUCUGGGAUUACCUUUCAAAAUUAUGUUUUAAUUGUAGCAAUUAUAAUUGUUUGAGAAUGAAAAAAACUCAAAAAAUAAGUGUAUAAUUUUGUUUUUGUUGGAGUAUGAUAGAAAAAUGUAUUCAUACGUAUUUGUGGAAUACAGCUUGAUCCAUCUACUGUGGGAGUAAAUGACUGCAGUUGUUUUCUAUCAAUAUGAUCUAAACUUAUUAAAAAAAAAGCAGAAAGAUUUAAAAAGCAAUGGAGAUGACAUUGUAUGGUGAAUAGAACCUAAGGAAAUUACAUAGAAGAGGAGUUCCCCUAUCCCCACACCCUAUUUGUGGCUGGAUUGAACCUGAUUCCAGAUUUCUAGAUUUCCCAUGUUGGCAAAAACAUGAAAGCUAUCUUGGAACUUAUCUUACCGUGGGGGAGGCAAAGGUUUCUAGAAAAGAAAGAAAACAAAAAUAUGUGUGAGCUUUUCACCCUUGUUUUACCAGCAGAAGUGUAAGUAGUUCAAAUUAAGCAGGCAUGUCUAUGUCAACAGGCAAAGUUUGAUGUACUCCACACCACGUAAUGUAGACUUAAAUAUGUCCCUUUAAAAUCAUUGAAGAGUAAAAGAUGCCAUUGUAAACCAUGAAUACGAAUUAGUGAGAUAAUGUAGGCCUGCAGACUUCUCAUCCUUUAGUUAGGGCUAGCAAAACUGGAGUGUGCUUUUACAAAUAUAUUCAACAGCAUAAUAGCCUGUGCAAAUGUAAUUGAUGAGAGACUCUGCUUACCUGGAGUCCAUGUAUUUUCACUCUUUCUCCUAAGAUAAUUAUUAAUAAUUGUUAAUAGAGUACUGUCCAUAUAAUCCACAAGUAAAGGUAUAGCUUUAUUCCAGUAUUCUUAUUAUUGGCAGCCCACCCCUACCCACCAGCUCUUUGCCACCACAUUCAUUCCGCUAACAUGUCCACAUCUCCACCAUUUUUCCUGCUUCCUAAUAGUUAGUAUUAAUUUCUGUCAACCUAUCUGCAGGGGCUGGAAGCUUCAGAGGUUCAGUGAGAGGUUGUUGUCUGUGGGAGUGAAGCUGAGACUGCGGGCUGAGGCCGGUGGAGAUGGGAAUGAGUGCGUGUUUUGUGUUGGCUGGACCGGGCUCUGUGUGAAACUUAAGGCAGGCGUGAAGUUCUGUGUACAGACAUCCUAAGUAACGUGAAAAAAUAAUGAAGUAGAGCCUGCAUUCUGCUUCAGUGUUGCAAAAACAAUAGAAGGUGCUGUCUGCAAAUUGAAGGUCUUUUCUACUAACCAGGAUAAAAAGAGUGUUUCAGACAGAAAAAGUUACCUGCAUAUACGGAAUCCUGUUGAGGUGUGGGAGGAAGGAUUCUCAAAUCUUGGAUAGCAUCCAGGGUGGAAGAACUUACUGUUUCAUAAACAUCUUCAUCCACAUCAGAGAGUAUGGAGAAUGAUUUUAAGUCAUCCUGGUCCCUCUUUGUGAAAUUUCUGUUCUACAUAGAGAAGCAAGAGAUACGCAGAUAAUACAAAUAAGUUUAAGUUCAAGAUUAAUUUGAUAUUUGGAAAUAGUUGAUGGCUGGAACCAGGUAUUUUGGUGUGUGGUACAUCUUCUGAUGGAAAUUGAUAGGUUGGAAAGAAAUUGAGCAAGUGUUUUAAGGAUCUAAAAGUUUGAAUGUGAUUAAUAAAAUAGACAUUUGGGAGCAA